UACGUAGGGAGCAAGCGUUAUCCGGAUUUAUUGGGUGUAAAGGGUGCGUAGACGGAGAAGCAAGUUAGUUGUGAAAUCCCUCGGCUUAACUGAGGAACUGCAACUAAAACUACUUCCCUUGAGUACUGGAGAGGAAAGUGGAAUUCCUAGUGUAGCGGUGAAAUGCGUAGAUAUUAGGAGGAACACCAGUGGCGAAGGCGACUUUCUGGACAGUAACUGACAUUGAGGCACGAAAGUGUGGGGAGCAAACAGG
rnacentral:rRNA from 1 species